GUGUGUGUAAAAAGAGUGUGAGGGUGUGAAGGCGGUAGUUCCUGUUGUUUAAAGUCUGAUAAUCAGAAGUGAAGUUGGACUGAAGCUGUAGAUCUACUGUGAGAUCAGAUGAUGAAGAUCCUGCUGUUAUCAGUUCUGAUGAUCCAGAGUUCUGUUCACUCGGCCCGGUCCGAGAAAUCCGGUGAUAAAGAUAAAGAUAAACCAGGAAGAUCUAAACCAACAGCUGCUGCUCCAAUCAAAAUAUUCAGUCAGAGUGGAGCAGAGGGGAGUGGCGUCUCUCUGGUCUGUGGUAAUAAUGGUACAGUGAUCUGGGAGAAAUGC